UGAGUUUUUAUACAAGUCUUCUAAAUUUGUUAUAGGUAUUUCCUGCUCAUUUUUGUU
rnacentral:tRNA from 1 species